rnacentral:rRNA from 1 species
CCUACGGGUGGCAGCAGUGAGGAAUAUUGGUCAAUGGCCGUAAGGCUGAACCAGCCAAGUCGCGUGAAGGAAGAAGGAUCUAUGGUUUUUAAACUUCUUUUAUAGGGGAAUAAAGGUAUCCACGUGUGGAUAUUUUCAUGUACCCUAUGAAUAAGCAUAGGCUAACGCCGUGCCAGAAGCCGCGGUAAUACGGAGGAGGCGAGCGUUAUCCGGAUUUAUUGGGUUUAACGGGUGCGUAGGUCGUUUUUUAAGUUAGGGGGGAAGGUUUGUGGCUCAACCAGAAAAUUGCCGUUGAAACUGGAAGACUUGAGUGUGUUUGAGGUAGGCGGAAUGCGUGGUGUAGCGGUGAAAUGCAUAGAUAUCACGAAGAACUCCGAUUGCGAAGGCAGCUUACUAAGCCAUAACUGACACUGAAGCACGAAAGCGUGGGGAUCAAACAGGAUUAGAUACCCGAGUAGUC